rnacentral:lncRNA from 1 species
CCUCUUGCUGCCUGAAGGUCGGUCCUGGUUCCCUGAGGCAGCAGUGAUCAGCAGAGACCUGCCUUGUCUUACAGCUUUUCCUCCAAGAUCAGCUCAGCACGGGCCCUGUGACUGAUGUAGGAGCCACUAACCAAAAUGAUGAGGCACGGUCCAGACCUUGAACCAUGUCCACUGUACACAGGAAAGUUCCUUAGAGCUGCUGGGGCCGUGGUCCCCUGGCUGUGCCCGCUUUCCUGUGGGUCACUUUCUUCUACAAAGAGCUGUCAACAUAAGAAGCCUGCUGCUCAGAAGGUGUAAACACACCGCCCCGUUGCCCUGAGAACGGACUGCCUCAGCUAGGCUGUGCUGAAAGGCUACGUGGAAAUAUUUCAUAAUUCAAGGGAGAUGUCAAGGCAUGGAUUGGAUCCUCCAAAACCUCUGCCAUGUCCUCCUGUCCCAUGAUGUCCUUUCCAACCAGUAACUCCCUGCACCUCAAAUCAGGCCUUCUUUGCAAUGCAUUUUACCAUCUUUCUGUCGCUUGCCCCCCCAACCAGAAGAACUGUUUCCUACAGAAAACCCAUAAUGUGGAUCAUGGCUUUUGAUUAAUAGAUCCGUACAUUCUUUAUGCCUGAAUGCAUGCCAUAAUUUAUGAGUAACAACAAGGAUGUGUUCUCCAAAGAAAGUAAUACUUGACUAAAUUGUUCUCUUGACGUAAACCUGUAAUUUAAAAAUUAUAUAUAUUUAGAGUGCAAGUCAAAACAGGAAGUGCAUUCCCAAAGUGGAUAAAGAUAUUUCUGAACCUAAAUAUCUAGUGAUACAAAAUUGCCUUGAAAUGUCUCUCCCUUCCCUGCCUAACAAAACCAUCCCUUACCAAAUAAGCAUGCUAUUUAUGGGAGAGCUUUUCUGCCCAGGCAAGUUAGCUAUCGCUGUAUUUUUGAAUGGUGAGAGAGGACUUUCAUAGUUGCAGGCAGCCCAAAGAGCAUUCUGCCACUGGAAGCUAAAAGCAUAUCCAUCAAAAGCAAAGGAAAUCUGCCAUCAAGAAAGCAUUUAUGAAAGUUCAGAUAAGAAAGAAUGUAUCAGGGAAAAUCAAUACGAAUCAGUAACAGACAGCUAAAUAUCCAGUGGGAGAUUCAUCUAGCUAAAUGCAGUCCUUUUCAUCUUAGCUAACAGCUGUUGGCUCCCUUUGUAUCCCAUGGGGAGCUAGUCAGCCUGGGCAAGGGGGACCGGGCUGUGACACAUCUCAUGCUCAAGUAGAUGUCUAAAUAGGAAAGCAAGAAACAUGCUCAGGAGGUGCCUGCUUCUCUCCGUUAGAUAUAAGCCAUCUGGCAUGGCAGGUUUGGCUGCAGACAGCCACAAGGAGAACAUCAAAGUUAGGUGCCAUGAUGCUACGGCAGGUGUGAAUCUGGACAUUGGGGGAGAGAUAUUAACAGCAAAAUAAAACAGGUCCUGAGCAGAGGGGGGAAAAAGAG